rnacentral:rRNA from 1 species
UACAGAGGGUGCAAGCGUUGUUCGGAAUUAUUAGGCGUAAAGCGCGUGUAGGCGGCUUUGCAAGUCGGGUGUGAAAGCCCUCAGCUUAACUGAGGAAGUGCGCCCGAAACUGCAUUGCUUGAGUACCGGAGAGGGUGGCGGAAUUCCCCAAGUAGAGGUGAAAUUCGUAGAUAUGGGGAGGAACACCGGUGGCGAAGGCGGCCACCUGGACGGUAACUGACGCUGAGACGCGAAAGCGUGGGGAGCAAACAGG